rnacentral:rRNA from 1 species
GUGUCAGCAGCCGCGGUAAUACAGAGACCCCGAGCAUUAUCCGGAAUUACUGGGCGUAAAGAGCAAAAAGCCGGUCGCAUUAGUCUGAUGUCAAACCAUGGGGCCCAACCCCAUGCCUGCAUCGGAAACGGUGUGACUCGAGCGGGUGAGAGGUGGGCGGAACGUACGGUGUAGGGGUGAAAUCCACUGAUAUCGUACGGAACACCAAAAGCGAAGGCAGCCCACUAGCGCUCUGCUGACGGUGCAUUGCGAAAGCGUGGGGAUCAAAAAGGAUUAGAAACCCCUGUAGUCC